UAGGUACAACCUCGAUCCUCCACACUGU
rnacentral:piRNA from 1 species